UCUGAGUCUGAAUAAUUUGAAUCUUGGCAG
rnacentral:piRNA from 1 species